UUAAGCGAACAAGCGUACACGGUGGAUGCCCUGGCAGUCAGAGGCGAUGAAGGACGUGCUAAUCUGCGAAAAGCGCCGGUAAGGUGAUAUGAACCGUUAUAACCGGCGAUGUCCGAAUGGGGAAACCCGGUGCACUUCGGUGCAUCAUCGUUAGCUGAAUACAUAGGCUAACGAAGCGAACCGGGGGAACUGAAACAUCUAAGUACCCCGAGGAAAAGAAAUCAACCGAGAUUCCCCCAGUAGCGGCGAGCGAACGGGGAACAGCCCAGAGCCUGAAUCAGCUUGUGUGUCAGUGGAACGGUCUGGAAAGGCCGGCGAUACAGGGUGACAGCCCCGUACACGAAGGCACACAGGCUGUGAGCUCGAUGAGUAGGGCGGGACACGUGAUAUCCUGUCUGAAGAUGGGGGGACCAUCCUCCAAGGCUAAAUACUCCUGACUGACCGAUAGUGAACCAGUACCGUGAGGGAAAGGCGAAAAGAACCCCGGCGAGGGGAGUGAAACAGAACCUGAAACCGUGUACGUACAAGCAGUGGGAGCCUUCGUAAGAGGGUGACUGCGUACCUUUUGUAUAAUGGGUCAGCGACUUAUAUUCUGUAGCAAGGUUAACCGUAUAGGGGAGCCGAAGGGAAACCGAGUCUUAAUUGGGCGUUAAGUUGCAGGGUAUAGACCCGAAACCCGGUGAUCUAGCCAUGGGCAGGUUGAAGGUUGGGUAACACUAACUGGAGGACCGAACCGACUAAUGUUGAAAAAUUAGCGGAUGACCUGUGGCUGGGGGUGAAAGGCCAAUCAAACCGGGAGAUAGCUGGUUCUCCCCGAAAGCUAUUUAGGUAGCGCCUCGUGAACUCAUCUCCGGGGGUAGAGCACUGUUUCGGCUAGGGGGCCAUCCCGGCUUACCAACCCGAUGCAAACUGCGAAUACCGGAGAAUGUUAUCACGGGAGACACACGGCGGGUGCUAACGUCCGUCGUGAAGAGGGAAACAACCCAGACCGCCAGCUAAGGUCCCAAAGUCAUGGUUAAGUGGGAAACGAUGUGGGAAGGCCCAGACAGCCAGGAUGUUGGCUUAGAAGCAGCCAUCAUUUAAAGAAAGCGUAAUAGCUCACUGGUCGAGUCGGCCUGCGCGGAAGAUGUAACGGGGCUAAACCAUGCACCGAAGCUGCGGCAGCGACACUAUGUGUUGUUGGGUAGGGGAGCGUUCUGUAAGCCUGCGAAGGUGUGCUGUGAGGCAUGCUGGAGGUAUCAGAAGUGCGAAUGCUGACAUAAGUAACGAUAAAGCGGGUGAAAAGCCCGCUCGCCGGAAGACCAAGGGUUCCUGUCCAACGUUAAUCGGGGCAGGGUGAGUCGACCCCUAAGGCGAGGCCGAAAGGCGUAGUCGAUGGGAAACAGGUUAAUAUUCCUGUACUUGGUGUUACUGCGAAGGGGGGACGGAGAAGGCUAUGUCAGCCGGGCGACGGUCGUCCCGGUUUAAGCGUGUAGGCUGACUUUCCAGGCAAAUCCGGAAAGUUAAGGCUGAGGCGUGAUGACGAGGCACCACGGUGCUGAAGUGACAAAUGCCCUGCUUCCAGGAAAAGCCUCUAAGCAUCAGGUAACAUCAAAUCGUACCCCAAACCGACACAGGUGGUCAGGUAGAGAAUACCAAGGCGCUUGAGAGAACUCGGGUGAAGGAACUAGGCAAAAUGGUGCCGUAACUUCGGGAGAAGGCACGCUGACAUGUAGGUGAAGCCCCUGCGGGUGGAGCUGAAGUCAGUCGAAGAUACCAGCUGGCUGCAACUGUUUAUUAAAAACACAGCACUGUGCAAACACGAAAGUGGACGUAUACGGUGUGACGCCUGCCCGGUGCCGGAAGGUUAAUUGAUGGGGUUAUCGCAAGAGAAGCUCCUGAUCGAAGCCCCGGUAAACGGCGGCCGUAACUAUAACGGUCCUAAGGUAGCGAAAUUCCUUGUCGGGUAAGUUCCGACCUGCACGAAUGGCGUAAUGAUGGCCAGGCUGUCUCCACCCGAGACUCAGUGAAAUUGAACUCGCUGUGAAGAUGCAGUGUACCCGCGGCAAGACGGAAAGACCCCGUGAACCUUUACUACAGCUUGACACUGAACAUUGAGCCUUGAUGUGUAGGAUAGGUGGGAGGCUUUGAAGCGUGGACGCCAGUCUGCGUGGAGCCAACCUUGAAAUACCACCCUUUAAUGUUUGAUGUUCUAACCUGGCGCCGUGAUCCGGCGUGGGGACAGUGUCUGGUGGGUAGUUUGACUGGGGCGGUCUCCUCCCAAAGUGUAACGGAGGAGCACGAAGGUCAGCUAAUCCUGGUCGGACAUCAGGAGGUUAGUGCAAUGGCAUAAGCUGGCUUGACUGCGAGAGUGACGGCUCGAGCAGGUGCGAAAGCAGGUCAUAGUGAUCCGGUGGUUCUGUAUGGAAGGGCCAUCGCUCAACGGAUAAAAGGUACUCCGGGGAUAACAGGCUGAUACCGCCCAAGAGUUCAUAUCGACGGCGGUGUUUGGCACCUCGAUGUCGGCUCAUCACAUCCUGGGGCUGAAGUAGGUCCCAAGGGUAUGGCUGUUCGCCAUUUAAAGUGGUACGCGAGCUGGGUUUAGAACGUCGUGAGACAGUUCGGUCCCUAUCUGCCGUGGGCGCUGGAGAAUUGAGGGGGGCUGCUCCCAGUACGAGAGGACCGGAGUGGACGCAUCACUGGUGUUCGGGUUGUCAUGCCAAUGGCACUGCCCGGUAGCUAAAUGCGGAAGAGAUAAGUGCUGAAAGCAUCUAAGCACGAAACUUGCCCCGAGAUGAGUUCUCCCUGAGACUAUAAGUCUCCUGAAGGAACGUUGAAGACGACGACGUUGAUAGGCCGGGUGUGUAAGCGCAGCGAUGCGUUGAGCUAACCGGUACUAAUGAACCGUGAGGCUUAACCUU
rnacentral:rRNA from 1 species